UGGGGAAUAUUGGACAAUGGGCGCAAGCCUGAUCCAGCAAUACCGCGUGUGUGAAGAAGGCCUGAGGGUUGUAAAGCACUUUCAAUUGUGAAGAAAAGCUGGUGGUUAAUACCCAUCAGCCUUGACGUUAACUUUAGAAGAAGCACCGGCUAACUCCGUG
rnacentral:rRNA from 1 species